UUGGGAAUCUUGGACAAUGGGGGAAACCCUGAUCCAGCCAUGCCGCGUGAGUGAUGAAGGCCUUCGGGUUGUAAAACUCUUUCGCGCGCGACGAUAAUGACGGUAGCGCGAGAAGAAGCUCCGGCUAACUUCGUGCCAGCAGCCGCGGUAAUACGAAGGGGGCUAGCGUUGUUCGGAAUUACUGGGCGUAAAGCGUGCGCAGGCGGCCCUCCAAGUCAGUGGUGAAAGCCCGGAGCUCAACUCCGGAAUUGCCAUUGAAACUGUUUGGCUAGAGUACGAGAGAGGUGAGUGGAAUUCCCAGUGUAGAGGUGAAAUUCGUAGAUAUUGGGAAGAACACCGGUGGCGAAGGCGGCUCACUGGCUCGUAACUGACGCUCAUGCACGACAGCGUGGGGAUCAAACAGGAUUAGAUACCCGCGUAGUCC
rnacentral:rRNA from 1 species